AUUAGCUCAGUUGGUAGAGCAACUGACUCUUAAUCAGUGGGUCCUGGGUUCGAAUCCCCG
rnacentral:tRNA from 1 species